rnacentral:rRNA from 1 species
CUGGCUCAGGAUGAACGCUAGCGACAGGCCUAACACAUGCAAGCGAGGGGCAGCACAAGGAGCAAUCUGAGGUGGCGACCGGCGCACGGGUGAGUAACACGUAUGCAACCUGCCUGUAAGCGGGGAAUAACCCGUUGAAAGACGGACUAAUACCGCAUAAUACUAAAUUACUGCAUGGUAAUUUAUUUAAACAUUUAUGGCUUACAGGUGGGCAUGCGCAUGAUUAGCUAGUUGGAGAGGUAACGGCUCCCCAAGGCAACGAUCAUUAGGGGUUCUGAGAGGAAGGUCCCCCACACUGGUACUGAGACACGGACCAGACUCCUACGGGAGGCAGCAGUGAGGAAUAUUGGUCAAUGGACGAGAGUCUGAACCAGCCAAGUCGCGUGCAGGAAGAAUGUCCUAUGGACUGUAAACUGCUUUUGCAGGGGAAUAAAGUGCAUCACGUGUGAUGUUUUGUAUGUACUCUGCGAAUAAGGAUCGGCUAACUCCGUGCCAGCCGCCGC